rnacentral:rRNA from 1 species
GAUGAACGCUGGCGGCGUGCCUAACACAUGCAAGUCGAGCGAGAAGCUUAUGACAGAAUCUUCGGAUGAUGGAUUAAGUGGACAGCGGCGGACGGGUGAGUAACGCGUGGGUAACCUGCCCUAUACAGGGGGAUAGCAGUUGGAAACGACUAUUAAUACCCCAUAUUCUAUGUUUAUCGCAUGAUAGAUAUAGGAAAGAUUUAUCGGUAUAGGAUGGACCCGCGUCUGAUUAGCUAGUUGGUAAGGUAACGGCUUACCAAGGCGACGAUCAGUAGCCGACCUGAGAGGGUGAUCGGCCACACUGGAACUGAGACACGGUCCAGACUCCUACGGGAGGCAGCAGUGGGGAAUAUUGCACAAUGGGGGGAACCCUGAUGCAGCAACGCCGCGUGAACGAUGAAGGUCUUCGGAUCGUAAAGUUCUUUUCUUGGGGAUGAAAUAAUGACAGUACUCAAGGAAUAAGCACCGGCUAACUACGUGCCAGCAGCCGCGGUAAUACGUAGGGUGCAAGCGUUAUCCGGAAUCACUGGGCGUAAAGGGUGCGUAGGCGGUAAAGCAAGUCAGAAGUGAAAGGCAAUAGCUCAACUAUUGUAAGCUUUUGAAACUGUUUUACUUGAAUUCAGGAGAGGUAAGUGGAAUUCCUAGUGUAGCGGUGAAAUGCGUAGAUAUUAGGAGGAACACCGGUGGCGAAGGCGACUUACUGGACUGAGAUUGACGCUGAUGCACGAAAGCGUGGGGAGCGAACAGG